rnacentral:lncRNA from 1 species
ACAAAUCCCCACCACCACCAUACGUCUACAGCUCUCCACCUCCCCCGUACUACUCUCCUUCCCCAAAGGUUGACUACAAAUCCCCACCACCUCCUUAUGUCUACAGCUCUCCACCUCCCCCAUACUACUCUCCUUCCCCAAAGGGUGACUACAAAUCCCCACCACCACCGUACGUAUACAGCUCUCCACCUCCCCCGUACUACUCUCCUUCCCCAAAGGUUAACUACAAAUCUCCACCACCACCAUACGUCUACAGCUCGCCACCUCCCCCAUACUACUCUCCUUCCCCAAAGGUUAACUACAAAUCCCCACCACCACCAUACGUCUACAGCUCACCACCUCCCCCAUACUACUCUCCUUCCCCAAAGGUUAACUACAAAUCUCCACCACCACCAUACGUCUACAACUCGCCACCUCCCCCAUACUACUCUCCUUCUCCAAAGGUUAACUACAAAUCCCCACCACCUCCUUACGUCUACAGCUCCCCACCUCCCUCAUACUACUCUCCUUCCCCAAAGGUUGACUACAAAUCCCCACCACCACCAUACGUCUACAGCUCACCACCUCCCCCAUACUACUCUCCUUCCCCAAAGGUUAACUACAAAUCCCCACCACCACCAUACGUCUACAGCUCGCCACCUCCCCCAUACUACUCUCCUUCCCCAAAGGUUAACUACAAAUCUCCACCACCUCCUUACGUCUACAGCUCGCCACCUCCCCCAUACUACUCUCCUUCCCCAAAGGUUAACUACAAAUCUCCACCACCUCCUUACGUCUACAGCUCCCCACCUCCCCCAUACUACUCUCCUUCUCCAAAGGUUAACUACAAAUCUCCACCACCUCCUUACGUCUACAGCUCCCCACCUCCCCCAUACUACUCUCCUUCUCCAAAGGUUAACUACAAAUCUCCACCACCACCAUACGUCUACAAGACACCAUACUAUUGAUUUUGAAUUGUUUCAUUAACAAGAAACAUGAUUGCAAUAAUUUUUUCUUAAUGAUUUCUUUUUCUUGAUU